GGAAGGCGGCGGAAAGCGCCCCAAGGUACGGCGAGGCCUUCGAAUGCCCCCGAAGGCUUUGGCCGCUGGCUGCUCCCGGCGUGGGCCGGGAGGCGAAGCACAGUAGGCCUCGCCUAGUGCGGAGCGCUGGGGAUCUGGAGUCGUGCCUGGGAGCGCCUGUAGGGGUCCCACUUAGCAACUUCAUGUUUGCAAUAUUCUAAACAUGGAUGAUCAUACCUAAAUUAGAAGCAAUGCUCAGGACUUCUUAGGAACGAAUAAUUCCUUCUGCUAGAAGGCUUCUCAAGUAUGUUGAUGUUUCAUGAACGUGUGUGAAGUAUCUUGAGUGAAAAGGGUUCCUUGUAAAUUGAUUGCUCUCCAGGGAGGAAACCAACACCUGCAAGGGGUUGGAACUGAUAACAAACAUCAGCUUAUGAUUUGAUGAGCAGCUGGUUUAUGAAUUCACACUAGAUGACUCCAGUUGUCGCCUGGAAUGUAUUGCCUUGAAAGUGAAAUUGAGACAAGCGGUGGCUAAAACUACACAUUUUCGAUGAUCAUGUUUAAAUGGGAACCUCGUUUGUUGAAACUGAGGUUUCUUAACAUAAACUGCUGUAAUUUAUUUUUAUGUUUGUGUGGAUUAAUUGAAAUAAAC